AAACUAACAAGGAUUCCCCUAGUAGCGGCGAGCGAAGCGGGAAAAGCUCAAAUUUGUAAUCUGGCGCCUUCGGCGUCCGAGUUGUAAUCUCGAGAAAUGUUUUCCGUGUUAGACCGCAUACAAGUCUCUUGGAACAGAGCGUCAUAGUGGUGAGAACCCAGUACACGAUGCGGAUGCCUAAUACUUUGUGAUACAUUUUCGAAGAGUCGAGUUGUUUGGGAAUGCAGCUCAAAUUGGGUGGUAAAUUCCAUCUAAAGCUAAAUAUUGGCGAGAGACCGAUAGCGAACAAGUACCGUGAGGGAAAGAUGAAAAGCACUUUGGAAAGAGAGUUAACAGUACGUGAAAUUGUUGGAAGGGAAACACAUGCAGUCAGACUUGCUAUUCGGGGCAACUCGAUUGGCAGGCCCGCAUCAGUUUUUCGGGGCGGAAAAGCAUAGAGAGAAGGUAGCAGUUUCGGCUGUGUUAUAGCUCUUUAUUGGAUUCGCCCUGGGGGACUGAGGAACGCAGCGUGCUUUUAGCAUGAGCUUCGGCUUAUCCACGCUU
rnacentral:rRNA from 1 species